AUGACAGCUGAAUCGGAGCCGCUAGUGGUGUUCUGGAGUGGACGGGGGAUUCAUAUAACGGUGCUAUUGAGCUUCACAGUGCAGGUGACGCUUUUCCUCUUGACAGAUAUUCGUCGACGCGCAGACUGGCCCGUGCUAAAGGUCGUCAUUUGGUCAGCAUACAUGCUGGCCGACAUGACGGCUAUAUAUGCCCUGGGUCAUUUGUCCGUGGUUGUGAGGUCGCCCGAGCAUCACCUUAUGGCACUUUGGGCACCGUUGCUGCUGGUGCACCUUGGUGGCCAAGACAGCAUCACUGCCUAUGCCAUCGAGGACAAUCGGCUGUGGCUGCGUCACCUGCAGACUUUCGGAGUGCAGGUCCUAGCAGCAGCCUAUGUGUUGUAUGCGUCUUCCGUUCUCUUCCACUCGUCCUUGCUCCGUUCGGCCGCCAUCCUCAUAUUUGUGGUUGGGUUUCUCAAG
rnacentral:rRNA from 1 species